GAGAGUCUCUCUCGCUCUCGCUAGCUCUCGCACACACACACAGACACACACAGACACACACACACCCGCCCGCUCGGCUCCGCUCCCGAGCUGCCUCAGCAAGGAGGAGCCCGGACGGAAAACACCCGGGCAGCAAGGGUAUGGAAGUGCAGUUCCCGGAGAGUGAACCUGGCGAUGGAGCGCAGCUCUCCCCGAAACCUGAGGCUGUUUCGCUCCCUAGGAGACUGAGAAGAGGGGACCCUGGAUGUCAGCCCAAUCUCCGGGUUUUGUUUGCCUUGAUUUGAGGCAGAUUUCCUCAUUCAGCUCUGGGAACUGACAGGUCCAACUAUCCACACCCUAGAGCUGCCUCCUCACAUAGCUACUGAGACUGACUGACUGACUCACCAGCAUCCUUCUGUUGUCAAAGACCCAUCUCCUUUAUUUGUAUCUUCUGACUAGCUGGUCAGUAAGUCCUAAUAAUAAUCAUGUUUCACGUCUCAGAAAUCUAAUAAUCAAGUUACUCAUUCUCAUAAAUUGCAGCUAAGCUAUUUGUGUUAGUCACAUUUUAUUCCCACUUUAAAGGCAGGGAAACUGAAACAGGAAAAUUAACACAUUUGCCUGAGGCCACACAUGGAUUUAAGAGUAGAUCCAGGACUGGAACUGAAUUUAGACCAAGCUCCCUCUUAAAGAUGCUCAAGUUCAAUAUGGAAAAGGCUUCUUAAAAAAAAAAAAAAAAAAGUAACAUAAACCUUACUUUUUGUCAGUUUUGUAUAUUAGUCAAAAUACACAUCCCUUUUUUUAGAUCACAUUUCCUUUCCUAAAGAUGAGAUUUAUCCAGCUUUUUUAAAAGUGUGGUGAUACCUUUCAACUACAUAGGGCCGUUUACUCUGGAAACAAGAAACAUUUAAUAUGAGAUUGUGAGCUGUAACAGGAACAGAAUUGCUCAUUAUUAGGUUACUGUAAACAGUGUUUGCUGGAUGUUAUGUAGUUCCAGGCCAACAAAAUAUAAUGAGCAGUCCAUCAUUAGUAUAGAUAAGGUGCUGUUGCUUACUUCGUGUGCUUCUGUUUUCACCAUCAUGCUCCUUCAGUGCUUUUGGUAUCAAAAUACUUAGCAUGGGUCUAAACACUGAAAAACGUACGGGGCAACCACAUACUGCUGCUGAGAGUUAUGAUUGAUACCAUUAAGCAGAGAGUUUUACCAAGCUGUGUCACUCAGAUCAAUGAAACAAGAUGUAUAUUGCUGGACUUGUAGCUGUGACAUGUCAUCAAAGCGAUGUUAUGGUAUGACUGAGCGCAGGUGGCAUGCCUAAAAAGCAGGUGUACAAUAUAAAUUUCCUAUUACUGACACGUAGAUACUUCCUCUUCCGCAAUGUCCACCCCCAGAUGCUUGCUUGCCCAACCUUCUACAGGAACUACAGAAAGUCCUGCUCAUCCUGCUCAUCCCUGAUGGCUGGAAUUGUACAGUCAAAACCCUAUACAGAAUAAAUGUUCACAUAUUUUUUUAUGUAUUUAUGCUGACAGCUCCAUUUUGAGCAUUUUUAGAGUCCUGAUUUGAGGGAAGUGGGUGCAAAUCUUAUUCAAAUAGUCAUUCUCCAAUACCAUUAGCAUUACCUGCCAAAAAUGAAAGUGCCAUAUGAAUCACAGUGAGCCACUCAUGAAUUUGUGGAUUAGAGCCUGCCAAGGAGCACCAGAAAUCCACAUGAUUUCAAAGUGCUAUGAGUUUUAGGGAUUUGCACAACUUGUAAAAGUGCAUUUAUCCAGGAACCAUCUUAUGGAUGACCCAUCCUAUAAGGACUACAGACAUAGCCAAUUCAAGUGAACGACAAUAUUAACUGAAAAUACUUCUGUUCAAAUCUUUCUCUUUCAAGUGAGGUAGUGAAAGUUGUGGUUCUGCUAAUUGAAACUGUCAGAGGCCCUUCCUGAGGUGCCCCUUACUGAAGUGCUGCUGUGACAUAGAGAUGUGGAAAUACGCCUUUGUGUGAGAAGAGCUAUCAGAUCCUCUGGGAAAUAUCACAGAUGCUUUCCAGUUCCUUUCAGACAUGUAAAUAUCUUUAUCUUUAGACAGGAGUAGAGAGGGGUGGGAAGUGCAGCGAGGAGUGGAGUGGGGUUAAAAGCACCCACAUAAAUCCAGGAACCAGAUAAAUACCUGUGGGGUUUUUUUUCUGUAUCUGAUAUUAGCUGGGGCUUGAAAUGAAAUGUUCAUUAUUAAGAAGAAAUGCUGCAUGGACGUGUGCAUACUUGAGAGUUAUGUUGACCCAUGGUUGAUAGAGAAGGCCAUCUUCUGCCUGAAAUUACAGAUGGCCAGCAGAGCUUUCAGUAACGCUCAGAACGCUUAGGUCAUUCUCCAGUAAUAUGUAUCUAACCAAGUAUGGUUUAUUUCCAGCUUGUAUAUGGCUAAUGCUGUAGCAGUGAAAAACACUACAUGUUUCUUCUUAUGAUUGCUUGCCUUCUUCAUGGUUUGCUUUAAGCUAAGCACAUCAGAAACUGAAAAUAACAUUUGCGUCUUUUUUUCCCUCUUAACAUAUAAAAACAGCAGCCUAAGUUUUGUAAUCUAUUUUUAUGUUAGUACUUGUGAAACAUAGCAAAAAAACCUGCUUACCAGCACGGGCUACACAGAGCUGUCUCAGCACCUUGAUGAAAUGUUAAGACUUGGUUUGAAUAACUAUAUUCCAACAGGUAUUAGUGUUAUCUGUCAGAUGAAAAUGACGCUGAACGACUACAACGAGGCUGGAGUGGCUUUCUGUGCAUGUUUUAAAUGCAAGUGGCCAUUACCACAGUGGUACCAUAAUGGUGGCUCAGUGGAAGACACUCAGAUAACUUUUUCUGAAUGUGGCUGCUACUUUCACUGCAUUUCUGUAGUCUUUUGAUUAUUCUACUCUUUGUUGGUUAGACACCAAUCUCCUGAGCUUAGGCCUAUGCCACCUCACUACCUGAAUGUUUUUCCUGAAAAUGUGUUGACUGAAAUGUGCAUCAUGUCAAUAGUAACGAAUUCAUCUGUCUGUGUCCACACUGGCUUAGGUUUCUUCCAGUCAUUCAUUAAAGGUUCAUGUUUACAGGCCCUGAUGCUACACAGUACCUCAGUCCAUUCAGCUUCUCUCCAAGGUGACAACUAUUUUCUGCUCCACAUCUCUGUUACAGGGCAUCUUUUGAUUACCUAAAAUUGUAAACUGCACCCUGUACGUUUCCUUAAAACAUCUGCUUUACGGAAGAGAAGAUCAACUUGUUGCAGGUUCAUCAGUGACAUCAGGCUCACUUCUCUUUUGCCUGACUGCCCUCUCCAUCUUCUUUCAGUCUAAAUUCAUAACUUUUGAAAGGAUUGAAGGAGUUGUUUUAUUAUUUGUGUGAACCUGCACAUUGUCUGUUCUGCUUUUCUCCUUCCUCUUGGUGUCUGGUUCGCCUUGGCUGCUUUUAAAAAUUCUGUUGCCUCUAGUGAGGGACUGCCAGAUUAAACCAGUGAAGAGAAACCAGGUGACUGUCUACUUUCACAAAUAUAGGUUGUGUAUAAUAAAUUCAGGUUUUACAUCUAUGCAAAUUAAAAUCAUCAUAUGAUUCUGACUACAUGCAUUUUUUAUCAAAUAUGGCAUAUAUUUCACAAAUUAUAUUUAACUUAUAGUCAUGUUGCUAUUCUGAAUACCUAACUAGGAGUUACAAGGUGUGCCACUAGAUCUUAGUAAAUGGGCUUAUGUAAACAAGAAAUAAGAGAAAAUCACCUUUUUUUCUUGUAUUCCUGCUAAGUGCGGUGGAAAGGCUUUUCCUGCUAUUACAUAUAGAGAGAAUAUAAGCACCUCACCACUGAGUUGCUUACAGACACAAGUACCUCUUGUUAUUAGAAGUGUAGAGAUUUUGUAAAAGCCUCUGCAGAACAUGCCCAGAAUAAGGAAGUUUUAAAGCAAUGUGUCUUUGGUCUGUAGUUUACCAUAUCUAGUUAGUAAGGCCUUCCACUAAUGCUUCUGUAUGGAGUGCAAGACAUUAGUCACAAUGUCAAACCAAACAUUUUACUUACGCAAAAUUAUAUCUUCACCUUAGGAAUAUUGUGAAGUGAGAACAGGAUUUAGCACAAUUCUUCCUUCGGGGUUUAUUGACAGACAGGGCAGUUUUAGUUUAAAGCCCUAAGCCCUGCAAUAUGAUUCCCAGCCAUAGGUGCACCACACUUUGAAUAAUCAAUCUGUCAGCUGAGCUAUGACAAGGAUUAUGCUGUGAAGGUAACAACUCAAUAUUUUCAACGUUAAGUGUCCUCACUAACUGCUGCGGGUUGGUCGCUUUUUUUUUCAUAAAUAAAAAUAAAUUUUGGUGAG